CCUAGUAACGGCGAGUGAAGCGGCAACAGCUCAAAUUUGAAAUCUGGCUUCGGCCCGAGUUGUAAUUUGUAGAGGAUGCUUUGGGCGCGGCUCCAACUGAGUUCCCUGGAACGGGACGCCACAGAGGGUGAGAGCCCCGUAUAGUUGGAUGCCUAGCCUGUGUAAAGCUCCUUCGACGAGUCGAGUAGUUUGGGAAUGCUGCUCAAAAUGGGAGGUAAAUUUCUUCUAAAGCUAAAUAUUGGCCAGAGACCGAUAGCGCACAAGUAGAGUGAUCGAAAGAUGAAAAGCACUUUGAAAAGAGGGUUAAAUAGCACGUGAAAUUGUUGAAAGGGAAGCGCUUGUGACCAGACUUGGGCCUGGCGGAUCAUCCGGUGUUCUCACCGGUGCACUCCGCCAGGCACAGGCCAGCAUCGGUUCUCGUGGGGGGAUAAAGGUCCCGGGAACGUAGCUCCUCCGGGAGUGUUAUAGCCCGGGGCGUAAUGCCCUCGCGGGGACCGAGGUUCGCGCAUCUGCAAG
rnacentral:rRNA from 1 species